rnacentral:rRNA from 1 species
GCAGUCGACGGAAGGCCCUUCGGGGUCUCGAGUGGCNNNCGGGUGAGUAACACGUGGGUGAUCUGCCCUGCACUUUGGGAUAAGCCUGGGAAACUGGGUCUAAUACCGAAUAGGACCACGCGCUUCAUGGUGUGUGGUGGAAAGCUUUUGCGGUGUGGGAUGGGCCCGCGGCCUAUCAGCUUGUUGGUGGGGUAAUGGCCUACCAAGGCGACGACGGGUAGCCGGCCUGAGAGGGUGACCGGCCACACUGGGACUGAGAUACGGCCCAGACUCCUACGGGAGGCAGCAGUGGGGAAUAUUGCACAAUGGGCGCAAGCCUGAUGCAGCGACGCCGCGUGAGGGAUGACGGCCUUCGGGUUGUAAACCUCUUUCAAUAGGGACGAAGCGCAAGUGACGGUACCUAUAGAAGAAGCACCGGCCAACUACGUGCCAGCAGCCGCGGUAAUACGUAGGGUGCGAGCGUUGUCCGGAAUUACUGGGCGUAAAGAGCUCGUAGGUGGUUUGUCGCGUUGUUCGUGAGAACUCACAGCUUAACUGUGGGCGUGCGGGCGAUACGGGCAGACUAGAGUACUGCAGGGGAGACUGGAAUUCCUGGUGUAGCGGUGGAAUGCGCAGAUAUCAGGAGGGACACCGGUGGCGAAGGCGGGUCUCUGGGCAGUAACUGACGCUGAGGAGCGAAAGCGUGGGGAGCGAACAGGAUUAGAUACCCUGGUAGUCCACGCCGUANACGGUGGGUANNNGGUGUGGGUUCCUUCCUUGGGAUCCGUGCCGUAGCUAACGCAUUAAGUACCCCGCCUGGGGAGUACGGCCGCAAGGCU